rnacentral:rRNA from 1 species
UAAGACGGAGGGUGCUAGCGUUGUUCGGAAUGACUGGGCGUAAAGGGCGCGUAGGCGGCUCGUGAAGUCGGGUGUGAAAGCCCGGGGCUCAACCCCGGAACGGCAUCCGAUACUGGCGGGCUUGAGACCGGGAGAGGAGGGUGGAAUACCCAGUGUAGAGGUGAAAUUCGUAGAUAUUGGGUGGAACACCGGUGGCGAAAGCGGCUCUCUGGCCCGGAUCUGACGCUGAGGCGCGAAAGCGUGGGGAGCAAACAGGAUUAGAUACCCUGGUAGUCCACGCCCUAAACGAUGUGCGCUAGAUGUCGGGGGGCUUGCCCCUCGGUGUCGGAGCUAACGUGUUAAGCGCACCGCCUGGGAAGUACGGCCGCAAGGUUA